rnacentral:tRNA from 1 species
GGGGAUUUAGCUCAGUGGUAGAGCGCUUGCCUAGCGAGUGCGAGGCCCGGGUUCAGUCCCCA